CACAGAUCUUCUGCAUUAUGCCGUGUUUGGUUUGACUGCGGUCACAGGACAUAUUUUCUCUGACGGAAUGAGAACAUUGGUGAUGACAAGCAUGCCCUCUGAGAAGCAGACCACGGUAGCUCAGGUGGUGAAAACACUUGGAGGUUUUAUAAUCCUUGACCGAGUUUGUGAGAGCACGACUCAUGUGGUGUCUGGGGGUCACCGACGGACUCUCAAUAUUCUGUUGGGCAUAGCUCGUGGCUGCUGGAUCCUCUCCUAU